rnacentral:rRNA from 1 species
UGGGGAAUUUUGGACAAUGGGCGCAAGCCUGAUCCAGCUAUUCCGCGUGUGGGAUGACGGCCCUCGGGUUGUAAACCACUUUAGUAGAGAACGAAAAGGAGCUAUCGAAUAAAUAGCUCUGCUGACGGUACUCUAAGAAUAAGCACCGGCUAACUACGUGCCAGCAGCCGCGGUAAUACGUAGGGUGCGAGCGUUAAUCGGAAUUACUGGGCGUAAAGGGUGUGCAGGCGGCUGAGUAAGACAGAUGUGAAAUCCCCGGGCUUAACCUGGGAACCGCAUAUGUGACUGCUUGGCUAGAGUGCGUCAGAGGGAGGUGGAAUUCCACGUGUAGCAGUGAAAUGCGUAGAUAUGUGGAAGAACACCGAUGGCGAAGGCAGCCUCCUGGGACGCAACUGACGCU